rnacentral:rRNA from 1 species
UACGUAGGGUGCAAGCGUUAAUCGGAAUUACUGGGCGUAAAGCGUGCGCAGGCGGUUCGCUAAGACAGAUGUGAAAUCCCCGGGCUUAACCUGGGAACUGCAUUUGUGACUGGCGGGCUAGAGUAUGGCAGAGGGGGGUAGGAAUUCCACGUGUAGCAGUGAAAUGCGUAGAGAUGUGGAGGAACACCGAUGGCGAAGGCAGCCCCCUGGGCUAACACUGACGCUCAUGCACGAAAGCGUGGGGAGCAAACAGG